rnacentral:rRNA from 1 species
UCCGGGAUGACUGAGUGGCGGACGGGUGAGUAACACGUAUGCAACCUGCCCCUGUCAGGGGGACAACCCGCCGAAAGGCGGGCUAAACCCGCGUACAUGCCACCGGGGCAUCCCGGAGGCAGGAAAGGCUUCGGCCGGACAGGGAUGGGCAUGCGGCGCAUUAGGCAGUAGGCGGGGUAACGGCCCACCUAACCGACGAUGCGUAGGGGUUCUGAGAGGAAGGUCCCCCACACUGGUACUGAGACACGGACCAGACUCCUACGGGAGGCAGCAG